rnacentral:lncRNA from 1 species
GUGUGUGUGUGUGUGCGCGCGCACACACACACACACACACACACACCUCACGUGCACACACCCAAGGUUUGCUUUAUACACACAGAGCAGAAGAAAGCUACUCAGUGAGCCCAGGUAAACAAUGAAUUGUCGUCACAGGCUCUCUGCCAAGCAGCUCGCUGAUAAUAGGUAGGGCUGAAAGCUGGAGCUGUUUCUUGUGGGUGUCCUCCCAGCUUCCCAUCACCCUCUGCAUAUUAAGGAAACUGGAACAAGCCAUUUGGGUGGCUGGGACCAGAUCUGGCUGAAGAAGUGCCCAGCUGUUGCUCUUUCCUCUUUCCAGUUUUCAGUCCCCAUCAUGGGGACUCAUUAUGGCUGUGAUCGUUGCUGAUGACAUUAAUGCACUGUGCUGCUUCUCUGUCGCACGUGCCAUCUGCUCCCAUCAGCCCUGUGGGGUAAGUGGUAGGUAAUUGUUUCCCAUCGGUAGUCCAUUUUCUCAGAUAAAGAAUGCGCGAUUCAAAAAUAAACAUCUACUCGGAGGCAUUGUGACAAGGCUAGUGUGGAUCUGGGGGCAGCCACCCCAUCUACUUCCAGUCGUAGGUGAGGCUGCCUUCCCCGGUAAUUCAAGUCGAAGGGCAAUUUGAUUCAUUAACAGUGACUCUGGGGGAGGAGGAUGUUCAGGGAGAGCAGAGACAAAAAAAAAAAAAAAUUUCCUGAGAGUUCUUCUAAACCAGCAGGGUCAAUGCAAAAGAGAAGGGGAAAGAAGGAAAGAGAAAUUGGUGAUUCAUCAGCUAGGCUGAUGAGUGGUUGGAAAUGAGAGAUAAGAGCCAGCUCCUCCAGCUCAGCUUCCUCGUUAGCCAGGGCCAUGCUGACUCACCAAGGACUGCGGGUUCCAGACCAUAAUUGAAUUGAAAAUUGGGCCUAUGGGAGAUGAGCCAGCAGUCCUGGGCAGAUUAGCGACAGGCAAGUUGCUGCAGUGUGCCCUUCAGAGCUUGGAGAAGAUGGCCUGGCACCUCAAGGAGUUGGCUCUCAGUUCCAGACAAUGCUCUGUAUACUCUUGGCUGCCAGCUGAGUGGCCUGGAGUCACCUGGCUUCCACAGACUGUGUGGAGCAGGAGACUGUACCAGGAUUCGCCUCAGAGUGGCAGUCUCGGGGCAGGGUGAAGACAAGGAGCCUGAUGGGAGAUGAGAGAGGCUGAAAUGGGAGACAGCAGUAGAAGACUAACACAGAAGGCAUUCAAUUUGAUGGUGGCAAUGAAAGUAUGCAUAAUGCAUGGACUUUGGAGCAUGUAAGAAAUCUAAUUGAACUAUUUUAAGAGAAAGAAGCAGUCACUGGAAGACUGUGAAGCUGUCUCCCUGGACCCAAGGACAGAAAGAGCAACAUGACUCAUGAAGAGUUGAAACAGAAAUGAAAAGUUAUUGUGGACCAGGUAGUGGGUCUCUUUUCUUGGCUCUUGUCUAUAAAGCCAUUAAUCUUUUGUGAUGGUUUACUUCUGUCCCAAUGAUUGACAGACUACAUUUCUCCGUGUGCAUGGAAAAAUUGGGUACUCUUGGGUACAUGUUGCAAUGGUUAGUUUUCCUUGUCGAUUUGAAUAAGAUCAGGGAUGGAUAGCUGGUAAAACACUUGGAGUACAUCUGUGAGGGUAUUUAUAUAACAGAAAAGGAUUUAAAUUGGUAGGCUGUGUGAAGAGGUUUGCCAUCACCAAUGUAAACAAGUGGCAUAUAACCCACAAGUGUCCCAAAUAGAACCAAAAUAAUGGAAGAAAGAUGAACUGUAUACUUUGGUUGGGACAUUCAUCUUCUACUGUCUUGGACACAUGUAGUUCAAUAUCUUGGGCCUUUAGGCUCAGACCAGAAGUUGUACCAUUCACUGCCCUGCUUCUCAGGCCUUUGAAUUUGAACUGGGACUAUACAUUGUAUCUCCU